UUAGUGGCGGACGGGUGAGUAACGCGUGGAAAACCUGCCGUAUACUGGGGGAUAACACUUAGAAAUAGGUGCUAAUACCGCAUAAGCGCACAGCUUCGCAUGAAGCGGUGUGAAAAACUCUGGUGGUAUACGAUGGUUCCGCGUCUGACUAGCUAGUUGGUGGGGUAAUGGCCUACCAAGGCAACGAUCAGUAGCCGGCCUGAGAGGGUGAACGGCCACAUUGGGACUGAGACACGGCCCAAACUCCUACGGGAGGCAGCAG
rnacentral:rRNA from 1 species